rnacentral:siRNA from 1 species
GUCGAUAUGACUUUUGAGCUC